rnacentral:tRNA from 1 species
AGUGUGGUAGCUCAAUGGUAGAGCAAUACUAGUUGAUAUGCUGGUUCGAUUCCAGCUCACACUA